AGAAGAUACGAAUCUUAUUUUGAGCUCAUUUAGAUAAAUUAACGUUGGUGUAAACAUGUUUUGAAUUGCAGGACUAGUUCAUAUUGACCACCUUUAGUCUCACCAGGGAAAUGGAUGUGAAAGUUUUAGUAUUUAUACUGUUAUCGUUUUCAUUCUUCAAAUACUGUCACCCUAACAAAGAUGAUUCCUACUGCUCAAAAAUGAGCACGUGCGCUGAGUGUACAUCCAAGGGUUCGUGGCUUUUGGGCAUGAAAUGCCGCUGGUGUCCCCUGGAAAAGACCUGUCAUGCUGUUGGAUCAAGAAUUAAUCAAUGCACCAUAGAACAAAAUAUCAAGGAUCCUUCAAUGUGUUACCAUGUUGUGCCAAAAUCAGAUUACAGUCACGAUAAAGCAGUGAUGUAUGCGAACUUGUCCGCAGCAGCAUAUUCGAAUGACCCUCAAAUGUGUAUAGAAGCAAUGAUUCCAAACAGAGAUAUCGUCGUGUGGGACGUGAUUGGCGCAAAGUGUGAUGGACCGCUUGCCAACUAUGACGACUGCUCAGCAUUGAUCGCCAUUGACAAGAGUACACACCAAAUCUUUGUUGUGUUUUCUGGUAGCCAUGCAAGUACAAAACAAGUUGUCGAUAUUAUCUCACAGACCCUUUUACCAAGCAGGUUCAAGAAUAUUGGCAAAGUGCACCGCUACUUCAAAAACACGUUUGAUAAACUAUAUCCAUGUAUAAAAGACAGUGUAGACGAACUCUUAAAAGGUGGAGAUUUCGAGAAUGCUGAACUCGUAUUGACAGGUCACUCGUUAGGCGGAGCGCUGGCUUCAUUGACAUCAGUUGCAUUUGCCAUGGAAACGUCCCAAAUAUCGAAGAGUAGUAUUUCGUUAUACACAUUCGGUCAACCUAGAGUUGGAAACAAAAUAUAUUCUUAUAAUUUUGACCAAAAGGUUACCGACAGUUGGCGAGUGGUCAGUAAACUUGAUGUAUUUUCAGUUCUUCCGCCACAAUUGCAGUUUAAAAGAUAUUUAGACAUGUUGUCCCGCAAAAAAACUGCUCAUUAAUUUGAUGAAGGAAGUACGGAAUUUCCCUAACAUACCUUACCAUCAUCAUACUCAAGUGUACUACCCAAAUGGAAAUAUGGACAAAGAUUCGUAUGUAAAGUGCAAGGGGAACGAAUUUGAUGAACAAUGUCGUAUGCCAAUAACAGAUUAUCUCAUCGAUUUCGAAAACCUAAUUGAGAAUCACAGAUACUAUUUUGGAAUUAACGUACCAGCUCACUGCAAUGAAAACAUCCUCUCCAAAACCAAACGUUCAGUUAAAUGGAAAUUUCCUGACUAUAGAUGCAAAAGGAUUCCGGUGAAUAGACCCAGCAACCAAGUAGCCGGGACAGAUAUUAUACGCGUGAAUGAAUCAAUCUGUACCUUUGAGAAAGAUUUUUGUGGCUGGACCCGAGGAACUGAAGGUAAUUUGAUCAACUGGCUGAGAUGGAAAGGGCAUACAGAUGACAAAAGGAGAACUGGGCCAACCGCAGAUCGCAAUAAUGACAAAUCUGGUUAUUUCAUUUACGUCGACGCCACAAGAAACACUGGAAGGAAGGCGAUAUUAAGAUCCCCGAACUUUCCCAUCAGAACGUACUGCUUUGAAAUGUUUUAUCAUAUGUACGGGGUCUCAUCGGUUCUCCGCUCCCCUCAACACACUGGGACGCUGCAUGUACGGGCGCAUUUAGGAAACUCGAAGAAGGGAAAGGAUAUUUUCACACGAUCGGGGAAUCAAGGAAAAGAGUGGCUACGCAUGGCGUGCACCAUUAAGGCUGAACUUAUGAACAGCACGUUUUAUCUGACGUUGAUGGCUGAAGUGGGUGAAAGUUAUCUCAGCGAUGUUGCAGUUGACGACGUGAGCGUGACGCCUGGACGUUGAUGGCUGAAGUGGGUGAAAGUUAUCUCAGCGAUGUUGCCGUUGACGACGUGAGCGUGACGCCUGGACGUUGAUGGCUGAAGUGGGUGAAAGUUAUCUCAGCGAUGUUGCCGUUGACGACGUGAGCGUGACGCCUGGACGUUGAUGGCUGAGUUGGGUGAAAGU